UUCAUUUGAUCCAAAGAUCCUCAUCAUCCCUCUGAGUAUGUUGACCUUGAUUGUAAUUGUGAUGCUGUUCAUCUGGUUUAUAAUGAGACACAAGCAGAAAAAAGCAGAAUCAUCAGCCACAGCAAUGGCUGGAGACGAAGUAACAUACUCUGAAGUCAGACCCAAGAAAAAACGUUCACCCAAGUGUUCAUUUGCUGAAAGUGAUGUGGAAAUCAUUUACAGUUCAGUUAUUAAGAAAAAGUGUACCGAAAGGCAGGGUGACAGAAAAGCCGCAGAAGUUACAUACAGCACAUUAGCUGAAAUGUUUAAAUGUUAAAACUUUUUUUUGAGUUGUAUCUCUUUUAUCUGUACCUUUUAUUACUGGAGUAUUUGUAUUUGCUGCUGUGUUAUCUUUUUUCAUUUACUUGUUAUGUAGUAACUUUUAACCUUAAUCCUUUUAACUGUUUUGUAAACAAGUUAAUUUCUGCAUAGCUGCAAAUUUAUUCAGAGAAGCAUUGAGCUGUUUUUGUUUCUUCCUUUUCAAGAUCAUUGACAUAUUUUUUCGCUCUUGUAAUAAAGAAGCUUUGCAGACUGUUAGACUGUGUACUGUUAGAUAGUUUUAGAUAUUCCACAAUCAGCUCAGUAAGUAAGUAAGUAAUCAGUAAGUAGUAUUACUGUAAUGUGGAAACAAUUUAGGAACUAAAGCGUCUCAGCCAUGAAGUGGUAAACCAUAUAAAUUUACAGAAGACUGUCACCGAGUUCUGAAGCACAUACUGCAUAAACAUUGCCAAUGCUCUUCUGAUCCAGUCACUGCAGAGCUCUGAAGCACCUCUGGCAUUAACAUAAGCAGCUUCAUGCCAUGUUUUUCCAUGGCUGUGCUGCUCCUGUAGGUGUAAUGUGUUGUUGGCCCAGUACUUUUGUCCAUGUCAGCUAUUUUAAUUAUCUAAAUUUAUGCAUACAACAUAGGUGAAAAAACAAAAAAAUAAACACUUGUAUAUGUUGUAGAUGGUUGGCUUUACACCCAGUCAAGUAAUUAAAAUCAAGACCAUAUGUCACAAAGUGGAAAUUUGUAUGUAUCUUUUAUAUUGGUUUUAUUCAGAUUUUAGUGUUUAUUUGUGUGUAGUUUUAUUUGCAUGAUUUUAUUCUGUUUGUAUUGCAUGUUUUUAAUGUGUUGUUUUAAUCCACUGAACUGGCUGGGCAUGGGACAAAUUAGCUGAUAGGGAUCACCUGCUGAGGCAUGGGUGUGUCCAGAGGUGGCCUAUCAGCUGUCUAAAGACCUAUUAAAAGGUAGCUAGCUGAGCACUGGAGGAGAGAGGCCUCAGACAUGAAAUGAACACAAGAAGGCCUGGUGAAAAAGAGCGACCUGCUGCCUGAUCGUGGGGGUGUAACGCUUCAUCUGGAGACGGACCAGUCAGCGUGACGUAGCGACCCAGUCCCGACAGCAGAAACGGCGACAGUAGGAGACAACGCGUGUGAUUGGCAGCAGCUAUACCUCAGCCUGCAUUUGGCGCUGACGCGAGGGGAGCCGUGGCAUCGCAUGACGGACUCCGGUGCAGAAUGCUUUCUAGGCUGGGAUGUGAUGGGCCCAGUGAAGGGAUGAGAGGGGGACAGGAGGCUCCUCCUCGUCUGUCUGGGAUGAGGCUGGCGUGGACCCCGCUCUGGAGAAGGAACUUCUGGCCUGCUGGUGGACCAAUAUUGAACAUUUAUCUGGGGUUGUGGAGCAGUUACAUCAGGGGAUUUUAGUGUAUGUCGAAAACUGUAUUUUUAGCAGUUUUAGACUUGGGUUUAUUCCUGGGGGAUUUUAGUAUAUUGAUAACAUCUUAUUGCGUACAUUUUUUGAGAGGUGUGUGGGGUUUUUUUUUCGUUUGUUUGUUUGUUUGUUUUUUGUGUGCUCCCUUGCCUGGGAAUAAACAGUUUCUGAUCAGACCUACAUCAUCCCUGUGCCCU